AAAAAAAAAAACCAACAGAAAUGAGCUGUGGCUGUAAUUCUGGACUUGUCUGUGGUGGAAAGAGUUAAGGGGGUGGUGGUCCCAGGGCAAGGACCACUUCCCCUUGCUGAGGGAAGCCCCUGGGUCUCAAGAGAAGAUGAUGCAACAUUUAGCAGGGAGCAGCCCUGUCUGGGCUCUGGGGGCUGCCACUGUAAGAGUUAAGUGAGUGUUGUGGCUGGGAAGCCCUCAGGGAAGGACCUGGUCUGGAGGGAUGGGGACCUGCCAGCCCUAGGGCAGUGAGGUGUGGGGGACAGGGGGUUGAGGAGUGUGGCUGUGGAGGCAGAGUAUGGACCCAACUUUUUUUUUUUUUUUUUGCCUUGUUUGACCAGCCUUGGCACUGCCCUCCGGCUCUCCAGGGGAAAAGCUGCAGUUCUGCUCUUGCAACACAAGGAGCAGACUGGAGAAUUUAGAUCUGCGUCACAGAGCUCAGAGAGAGAGAGAGCAAGCGAGCGAGCGAGCAAGCUCCGUGGAUAGGUCUGCUAGCAACAGCCGUGCUGCAGCAGGGAGAGAGAGAAAUGAAGAAACAAGUCAUAGCAACACCGGGCACCAGGUUCUGCCAGAUCACUUGCCAAGCGUUCAGAAAUCUGUCGGGGGCCAGAGGCCUCUGGGUAGCCUUGGCUAAGGCGAUGACACGCAAGGUGGCACGGGCGGUUCCCGCAGGGAGGAGGUGGGGGGGUAGGGGUGGGAGCAAGAGGUUGCGGGGCGACGGUGGAAGGUUGAACAAGACCAAAUUCUGGAACAUUCGGGACUGCGGCACCUUACGGCCAGACCAAGAUUUGGGUCUGCGCAGGCAGUGAUGGGUGGUCCGACAGGCUUCAGGACUUGAUGGCGUCACCCCCUUCGUUCCCCCAUAGCAGUUAGGAGAGUGCAGUUCACUGCGUGAGUGGGUGACAACCUCUUGGCAGCUCAGGCUCGGCUGCGGUGGUGCCAGCGUGCCGAAGAGAAGCCGCCAUGCUGCCGGAUGGAGCGACUCACUUGCAUUUAUUUGGAAUAGAGAAAGGAGCCUCCUGGCAACCCCACUCUGCAACUUCUUGACACUCUCAUGAGACCUGGUCUGCACUCCUUGACUGGGAAGAAGCCAGCCACACCAUGCGUGUUCCCCAAGAGGGUCCCUUCAUUUUGGAAGUUUCCAGAACAUCUGACCAUGCUUCGGCUGAGUACCAUCACUGAAAGGUACAUCCUCACUGUGGGAUUGUCAGGGUGUUUCUGACAGAUGGGUGAGGGCUGCCCGGAGCUUUGCUCAGCAUGUGUGGUGUGGUGUGGUGUGUUACCUGUUGGCAGGCUCAUGUGCAGCACCUGCUGCAGGUAUUGGCUAAGGUUCAGUGCAGCAUCAGAUACUAGAAACACCAGCUUCAGUGCCGAUGGUAGACCUCACCACGAGAGUGAAGGAGGCUGAGAGGG